rnacentral:lncRNA from 1 species
UUAGGUUCGUGGAUCUUUCUCUUUAUAUGUUGCUCACCUACUCAUCUUUACUCAAUAUGGAACUCCGGACUCCAUACUUAAAUUCCUCACAUAAAAAAUACGUUACGAAAAAACAAGUUUAGAAUGAAUGAAAGGCGCCAAAAUCCACUGUUAUAGCUCAACAUAUUUUAUCAUCUAAAGUUCACCACUUUAAAGGAGGAAUCAAAUACAAAAUUCAAGAUCUUUUUUCAAAACAGAAAUCCAAAAUUUAUGGUGGGGGACAAGAUUGUCAGAAUUUGUAGACAAGAGUAAUAAAUAUGCAUGCAUUAGGGUACCAUUUUAAUUGUAAAAGCCACAGCCUGUCUGGGUCAGGAUUCAAAUACUAUAUAUACGUACCUCUUCAAAUGAACCAAACUGCAAAACCCCUAGUGGAAGAACCGGUACAAGCACAAUAGUCUGCAAAAGAAAUUAAAAUUAUCAACUCAAGAUUUGCUUGAAUUGCCCCAUUUAGUGCAUAAAUAUCAUUUUGAGGCAAGCCUAAUAUAAGGUGAUUUUUCUAGUCA